rnacentral:rRNA from 1 species
AGAACGAACGCUGGCGGCGUGGAUAAGACAUGCAAGUCGAACGAGUGGCGCAAGGGUGCGUAACACGUGGGAAUUUGCCGCAAGACUGGGAUAACUCGCUGAAAGGCGAGCUAAUACCGGAUGCGAUAAGCCCGCGGCCUAUCAGCUAGUUGGUGAGGUAACGGCUCACCAAGGCUAAGACGGGUAGCUGGUCUGAGAGGACGACCAGCCUCACUGGAACUGAGACACGGUCCAGACACCUACGGGUGGCAGCAGUCGAGAAUUUUUCUCAAUGGGGGAAACCCUGAAGGAGCGACGCCGCGUGGGGGAUGAAGGUCUUCGGAUUGUAAACCCCUGUCAUCUGCGAUGAUAGUAGCGGAAGAGGAAGGGACGGCUAACUCUGUGCCAGCAGCCGCGGUAAUACAGAGGUCCCAAGCGUUGUUCGGAUUCACUGGGCGUAAAGGGUGCGUAGGCGGUGAGGCAAGUCUGAUGUGAAAGCUUCGAGCUUAACUCGAAAACGGCAUUGGAAACUGCUUUGCUAGAGGUUUGGAGGGGGGACUGGAAUACUUGGUGUAGCAGUGAAAUGCGUAGAGAUCAAGUGGAACACCAGUGGCGAAAGCGAGUCCCUGGACAAAACCUGACGCUGAGGCACGAAAGCUAGGGGAGCAAACAGGAUUAGAUACCCUGGUAGUCCUAGCUGUAAACGGUGCACGUUUGCUGUAAGUGGCGAAGCUAACGCGAUAAACGUGCCGCC